rnacentral:rRNA from 1 species
AUUGAACGCUGGCGGCAGGCCUAACACAUGCAAGUCGAGCGGAUGAAGGGUGCUUGCUCCUGGAUUCAGCGGCGGACGGGUGAGUAAUGCCUAGGAAUCUGCCUGGUAGUGGGGGAUAACGUCCGGAAACGGGCGCUAAUACCGCAUACGUCCUGAGGGAGAAAGUGGGGGAUCGUCGGACCUCACGCUAUCAGAUGAGCCUAGGUCGGAUUAGCUAGUUGGUGGGGUAAAGGCCUACCAAGUCGACGAUCCGUAACUGGUCUGAGAGGAUGAUCAGUCACACUGGAACUGAGACACGGUCCAGACUCCUACGGGAGGCAGCAGUGGGGAAUAUUGGACAAUGGGCGAAAGCCUGAUCCAGCCAUGCCGCGUGUGUGAAGAAGGUCUUCGGAUUGUAAAGCACUUUAAGUUGGGAGGAAGGGCAGUAAGUUAAUACCUUGCUGUUUUGACGUUACCAACAGAAUAAGCACCGGCUAACUUCGUG